ACGAACGCUGGCGGCGUGCUUAACACAUGCAAGUCGAACGGAAAGGCCCUGCUUUUGUGGGGUGCUCGAGUGGCGAACGGGUGAGUAACACGUGAGUAACCUGCCCUUGACUUUGGGAUAACUUCAGGAAACUGGGGCUAAUACUGGAUAGGAGCUCCUGCUGCAUGGUGGGGGUUGGAAAGUUUCGGCGGUUGGGGAUGGACUCGCGGCUUAUCAGCUUGUUGGUGGGGUAGUGGCUUACCAAGGCUUUGACGGGUAGCCGGCCUGAGAGGGUGACCGGCCACAUUGGGACUGAGAUACGGCCCAGACUCCUACGGGAGGCAGCAGUGGGGAAUAUUGCGCAAUGGGCGGAAGCCUGAUGCAGCAACGCCGCGUGCGUGAUAACGGCCUUCGGGUUGUAAACCGCUUUCGCCUGUGACGAAGCGUGAGUGACGGUAAUGGGUAAAGAAGCACCGGCUAACUACGUG
rnacentral:rRNA from 1 species